AGAGUUUGAUCCUGGCUCAGGACGAACGCUGGCGGCGUGCCUAACACAUGCAAGUCGAACGAAGUAUAUUUUCGGAUAUGCUUAGUGGCGGACGGGUGAGUAACGCGUGAACAAUCUGCCCUGUACACAGGAAUAGCCUCGGGAAACUGGGAUUAAAACCGGAUAACACUUUUUUCUCGCAUGAGAGAGAAGUCAAAUUGAUUUAGAGGUACAGGAUGAGUUCGCGUCUGAUUAGCUAGUUGGUGAGGUAACGGCUCACCAAGGCGACGAUCAGUAGCCGGCCUGAGAGGGUGAACGGCCACACUGGAACUGAGACACGGUCCAGACUCCUACGGGAGGCAGCAGUGGGGAAUAUUGCACAAUGGAGGAAACUCUGAUGCAGCGACGCCGCGUGAGUGAAGAAGGUCUUCGGAUCGUAAAACUCUGUCCUUGGUGACGAAAAAAAUGACGGUAGCCAAGGAGGAAGCCCCGGCUAACUACGUGCCAGCAGCCGCGGUAAUACGUAGGGGGCGAGCGUUGUCCGGAUUUACUGGGCGUAAAGGGUGAGUAGGCGGUAAUAUGUGUCAGAUGUAAAAGGCUAUGGCUUAACCAUAGUUGGCAUUUGAAACUGUAUUACUUGAGUGCAGGAGAGGUAAGUGGAAUUCCUAGUGUAGCGGUGAAAUGCGUAGAUAUUAGGAGGAACACCAGUGGCGAAGGCGACUUACUGGACUGUAACUGACGCUGAGUCACGAAAGCGUGGGUAGCAAACAGGAUUAGAUACCCUGGUAGUCCACGCUGUAAACGAUGAGUGCUAGGUGUUGGGUAGCGAUAUUCAGUGCCGAAGUAAACACAAUAAGCACUCCGCCUGGGGAGUACGGUCGCAAGACUGAAACUCAAAGGAAUUGACGGGGACCCGCACAAGCAGCGGAGCAUGUGGUUUAAUUCGAAGCAACGCGAAGAACCUUACCAAGG
rnacentral:rRNA from 1 species